UCAAAAUCGAUUAAUUAACUGAACUUAAUAAAUAAUAUUAUAUAUAAUAAGUAUUAGCCCAAUGCCCACCAAGACCCAAGCCCCAAUCACCGGCCUACCCCCAACACUUCUAAAUCCUACCCAAUAUAAACUCAGUCCAAUAUAUAUAAACCCAACCCAAUCGUAAAAACUAAAAAUAAUUUAAUAAUUUAAUAAAUAAAAAUAAAAAUCCUAAAACAAAAUCUAAAAAUAUGCAAAAAAUUCCCUAAUCCUCAAAAUUCAAAAUCCCUAAUUUAAAAUCUCCCAAAAUCUC
rnacentral:lncRNA from 1 species